GGGGGGUGCAAGCGUUGUUCGGAAUUAUUGGGCGUAAAGAGCGUGUAGGCGGCUUGAUAAGUCAGAUGUGAAAGCCCUGGGCUUAACCCGGGAAGUGCAUUUGAAACUGUCUUGCUUGAGUAGGGGAGAGGAAAGUGGAAUUCCUGGUGUAGAGGUGAAAUUCGUAGAUAUCAGGAGGAACACCGGUGGCGAAGGCGACUUUCUGGCCCUAUACUGACGCUGAGACGCGAGAGCGUGGGGAGCAAACAGGAUUAGAUACCCUGGUAGUCCACGCCGUAAACGAUGUUCACUAGGUGUUGGGGGUAUUGACCCCCUCAGUGCCGGAGCUAACGCAUUAAGUGAACCGCCUGGGGAGUACGGUCGCAAGACUA
rnacentral:rRNA from 1 species